AUGAGAAAAGGCAGCCGUGUUGGCACAAGCAAAAAUGUAGCCAUUGUGAUAGCCAAGGAAGAGAGCCUAUGGCAAAGCCUGUUUGUGUUCUUUCUUGGUACAUGCGUGUGUGUGUUCCUGAGUUCCACCAUUGUGCGUCUGUGUGUAUGUGUUCUUGAAAAAAACCACAAGAGAGUUGAGAGAGGAGGAAGAAGAGAGGCGUUGCAAGGAGGCGGGGCCAACAUGACUGUGGCCAUCUUUGGUAGGAGAAAUGAAAAUGUUGUCCAACUACCUUUGGUGAAGUUGAAGGCAGUAUAUACCUAUCUGGAGCAAUUAUAUACAUGA
rnacentral:rRNA from 1 species